GAAGGAAAUGGAGAAAUAUGCAAACCGGG
rnacentral:piRNA from 1 species